AAGUUCCUUCACCACUUGACUCUUGAGGUUCUUCAAGGUCAAUUUGCCUCCCACUGUCUCCUUGGCUUAUAAAUUCUCUCUCACGAAAGACUCCUCUUCUUGCUACAAAGACCACAUUAUCACUAGGUCUGUAAAAGAGGUAACCAAAGGAUCUUUGUGGGUAGCCGAUGAAAAUACACCUCUCGCUUCGGGGUUCUAGCUUAUCAUGAGACUCGCGCCUCACAAAAGCUUCGCAACCCCAAAUCUUGAUGUGGUCUAGUUUGGGUACUUUACCAGUCCACAUCUCGUGAGGAGUUUUGGCAACUUUCUUUGUAGGGACUAGAUUAAGGAUAUGGGCGGCAGUCUCUAAGGCAUACCCCCAGAAUGAGAUUGGUAGCGAAGCUCGACUCAUCAUGGAACGAACCAUAUCUAACAAGGUUCGAUUACGCCUCUCAGCCACACCAUUCAACUGUGGUGUCCUGGGAGGUGUCAAUUGUGAGACUAUCCCACAUUCCCUUAGAUAGUCGAGGAACUCUGAACUAAGAUACUCACCACCACGAUCGGAUCGUAGCAUCUUAAUUUUCCUGCCCAAUUGAUUCUUGACUUCUUGUUUAAAUUCGUUAAACCUUUCGAAAGUCUCUGACUUAUUCUUGAUUAAAUAGACAUAUCCAUAUCUACUGUAAUCAUCAGUAAAAGUCAAAUAAUAACGAUUAGCAUCCCUUGUGGCAUGUUUGAAUGGUCCACACACAUCCGUGUGUACAAGGUCCAACAAACCUUCACCCCUCUCACACGAACCUGUGAAGGGUGACUUUGUCAUUUUUCCAAGUAAGCAUGAUUCGCAACUAUCAUCUGACUUUAGGUCAAACGACUCCAAGACUCCAUCCUUUUGGAGUUGGCCUAUGCGUUUCUUGCUUAUAUGUCCAAGACGACAAUGCCAUAAAGAUGCUUUAUCCAAGUUAUUAUUAGUAGAAUCAAUACACAAAACAUUAUUUCCCAAGUUAUCUACAACAGAUACAGCUUCAUACACACCAUCACAAGGUAAUGCUUUAAAAUAAAAGACAUUAUUAUAGAAAACAUCUAUAGAACCAACUUCAUUAUUAAAUGAAAAGGUAAACCCUUGUUUGUACAAAGCAUGAAAGGAAAUAAUAUUUCUUGCCAUUCCUGGCGAAUAACAACACUUAUUCAAAUCUAAACUAAACCCACUACUUAGCGAUAAAGUAUAAACUCCAAUCUUGGUAACAGGUAUAGCUUUCCUAUUCCCCAUGAUCAAGUUUAUCCUUCCUUGCUCCACAUCCUCACUUCUUCUUAGUCCCUGCAAGUCACAACAAAUGUGAAUACCACACCCGGUAUCAAGGACCCAAGAAUUAGAAUGGGGUGAGUUAUUAGAAAUGAUAGUGUAAAUACCUGCAUGGUUGGGUUUAACUUUCCCAUCCUUCACAUCUUGCUGGUAUUUUGGGCAGUUCCGCUUCCAAUGAGCUUUUUCAUGGCAAUAGAAGCAUUCAGCCUCUUUUGGGUCAGAAGAAGGAGUAAUGAAACCUUUCUUGGUUCCACUUGAAGAAGAGCCAUCAAGGGUCCGAACCUUGGUACCCUUAGAAGAGCUCUUUCUCUUCCUCCCUCGACUUUUCCCGAUUGCCAAAACCGGAGUAGAGUUUUGAGUAGGAGUGAUAGCAACCGACUUCCCCUUAAGACCUGAUUCUGCGGUCUUGAGAAGUCCCUGAAGUUUGCUGAGGGUGACUUCUUCCUUGUUCAUGUGAUAUGUCAUGCGGAAUUGAUCAUAGCACGAUGGUAAGGAAUGCAAAAUAAUAUCUAUUGCAAGAUCCUCCGGGAAGUUCACAUUAAGCUUCAGCAAACGAUCCACAUACCUUUGCAUUUUCUGCAUGUGGCUCGUGACGGAUUCCCCGUCCUUCAUCAUGGUUGUUAUCAUGGAGCAGAUGAUUUCAUACCUCUCUUGUCUUGCACUUUGAUGGUAUCUUUCCAUCAAAUCUUGGUGCAUUUCAUAAGGGUAGAAAUCCUCAUAAGACUUUUGGAGUUCCGCUGUCAUCGUGGCCAUCAUGAUGCAAGCCACUUUCGUAGCAUCCCUUUCAUGUGCCCGAAAUUCAGCGAUCUCCUGAGGAGUUGCAGUGGACUCAUCAAUCUCCUUAAGCUCCUUGUCAAGGACAUAUUCUUUGUCCUCGUAGCGGGUAAUCAUCCUGAUGUUUCUGAUCCACUCAUUGAAGUUGGAUCCAUCAAAGGUGACUUUCCCACACAAGUUCAUAAGGGUAAAGGAGCCAUUAGGAUUAGAGCCAGAAGCAUUGUUGAAAGACAUCUGAAGGAAAGAGGACAAGAUUAGUUUAGAUAUAAGAGAGUCCUUAAUAAAACACCCAAAUGUAAUAUUAAGGCUAGGAUCCAAUCACAAUAUAAUAUAACUUAGAAGAGGUAUGCCGUAAUCUAAGCUAUAUCAUAUUUGAAAGGUAGGUGAAUGACGAUUCACCAAUUUCCACCACGAAAACCGCAAUAUUUUAGUAUUAGGUUUUUGAAUGGUUCUUAGAAAUUCCUAGAUUCUUUGAGAUUCAAUGAACUUUUCAAAGGCAUGUUUCAAUCUCGAGUGUGCCCUCCAAGUUUUGUGACUGGGAUACCGAGGAUCACAAAACGAGGUGUGAAGUAACCAUGCAAAUCACUUGGUACCCUUAAAGUUUAUCACUCAAUCGAUGUGCCGGUUAACCACACACGCUCCAUCGAUACUAUAAUAAACCCUAAGUCACCCUUUACCUACCUUGUUAAGUCCAAGUUAGUGUGCCGGUUAACCACACACGCUCCACCAACGACUUAAUCAAAGUGUAAAGUGUAAUUUCAUGGAAUAGCACCUUAUUCACAUUUUUCCUAAAGUAACUAAGAUUGGGAAUUUAAUAAAACAUUUAGUUACUUUAUAAUAUUCAUCAUACUUUGAAUGAGAAUUAAUAAGUCCUUGUCUUACCCGUUCGGCUAACGACCCUCCACCGAUCAAGCAAGCGGUGGGUGAGAGUGGACACCCAUUAAGUCACCAUUUUAUAGGCAACAACCUUAUACCCACCUUAUAGACCGGCUUCGUGAAUGAGGCGUACUAGCGGUAAGACGACUUUGUUCUUAUACAUAUAUAUAUAAUUAUUAAAUCAUAAUAAUAUAAGUAUAAGGGUUGAAUUUUAACUUUUAAAAUUCUAGGGGUUGGAACUAAAGUUUUAACUUAACUUUACUUGUUCCAAAACUUGAGGGCAAGUUUUGUAAACUUUCAAAACUUUUCAUUUCUUGUAACUUAUGAGUUUAAUAGAGUAAUAAAAUGAGGACUUUUCAUUUUUCCUAACUCUUGUGUUCUUUUAAUGGUUUUUAAUCCAAGAGACUUUUGGUUUUCCAUAACUUGAGGACAAGUUAUGGACUCCAUUAAAACACAUUAUGAUCAUGAAUUAAUCUACCACAUAGGUUACAAAUAAUUCCUAUGAUCAUCUAAACAUCAUAAGAACAAGAAUAUGAAUAUGAACACUUUCAAGAAUCAAAAUCACAUUUAAUCUUUGUAAUUUUGAUAACUAGUUGUUGUAAAUGAGUUAGAAAAGACAUUACACCUUCUAAAAUAAGUUUUCAAGUACCAAAACAUUUUAGGGUAAUGAUUCUAAUCCAUUUCCAGCAACUCAAGUCGAAAUUCUGCACUCUGUCGACCCUACUCGCCGAGUGCAUAAACCUACUCGCCGAGUAGGUUGAAGAUACACAUGAACUCGACGAGUCCUCCCCAUGGACUCGCCGAGUCCAUCAGUCAGACAGCAAGAUUUUCGACUUUCUUCAACUUUUAAGCACAAAUAACAAACAAACAAGCCUAGGCUCUGAUACCACUGAUGGGUUUUGAGCAUUCUAACACUUCCUAAGUGUACAUGCAACCCUAAUAACCUUGGAUCUAUGUUUGUCUAAUUAUCAUGCAAAGUUGAAUUCCAAGGUUAUAUUCCUAUCUAGCAUACAUGGGGAACAAUUUUAACUUGAAUCAUAGAUAGAAUAACUUACCUUGUUGUUGCUUGUGUUCCUUGAAACCUUGUGAGCCUAGCACCCCAAGUGUGAUGCCUCAAAUGCUUCACACAACACCAAAUGCUCUUGGAAAGACUCUUGAGAUAACACACACUUCUCAAAAUCGGCCAAGCCCUCUAGUUUCUUAGUGUAGCCGAUUUUGGUGGAGAAUAUGAUUCUUAUAUAGUGUUGACACAUCUAGGGUUACACCAUGUAAACCCUAAUGUGUCAUGACUCUUCAUUUCCAUGACCCAUGGGUUUGUAACUCCCAUGGAGCAUCCAUGGAGCAUCCUAUGGGUAGAACCCAACUUGAUAAUCCAUGGAGCCUCUUAGCCCACUAUACAAGAUAUGGAUGAUUUACAUAAUCAACCCAUAUAUUUAAUUAGUUAUCCUUUGAUCACUUAAUUAAUUCCAAAUUAAUUCUUUGAUCAACUAAUCAAAUAAUAUUAUUAAUAUAUUAGAACUUAUAAUAUAUUAAUAAUCUCCAAGUGUUAUUUCUCUCAUUUAGUCUAUCCAAUUGCAUGGUGCCAUGCAACCCAAAUGGACCAUGCCGGGUCGGGUCAAGUACAAGCCCGAAAUAGUUAUGGACUUAGACACCUUAUCCAACAGUCUCCCACUUGGAUAAGUCUAAUAACUAUAUCUCUAGUACUUCAGGAACCGACCGGCAAUCGUAGCUCUUUCAAGGUCUCUCGGAACUGAGAAGAUGAUGGUACGCCAUUUAAGAUAAGUGAUCAUAUAAUCCUCCGUUCUAGAUAUCAGCCGGACAAAUACAUGGAACAUUGUCUUGCUUAUUGUCCAGCAUUUGUUUCCCGAUUUCCGAUUUGUUUGACAUAGAACUUAAUUGAACACAUCAACUUAGUUCUGACCGGGCCCGGUACAUGGGUCAAAACAAAAUCAUCGAGGGGCCCAGAUAUCAGCUUCUAAUCCAAGAAGGAACAGAUAAACUUCGACUCAUAUGUUUGUUCUACCACUCAUUGAAUUACACACAAAAGUACGUUUUAUAACAUCGAGUUACCAAUGCGGUUUCGUACAGUCAAUGCAUAACCAACUUGUAAGUAACAAAUCAUAUCUCUAGGUUUGAAGACUUAUAUGAUAUUACCGUCUCACGAUCACUCGAGAUAGAAUUCCAUGAAGUGAUUCCAGUGAGCGUGGGUUGAGUCCAAUGCUCAGAACUUAUGAGCACUCAUGAUUGUUGUAGCCUUGUCCAACACCUUAGACCUCUACAACCCAUCAUGACAGUCUUGAUUCAUACCUACUUCCGACAUAUGACCGACUGUGGAGGUUUGAAUAAUAUGUUACACCAAACAAAAUUAUUCUGGAAGUCAAAACAUGCAAAAGAAAUAUAGUAAACGAUUGACAAGAGAUAGCAACACUUUACUCAUAAAUAAAACACCUUUUAUUCAUCAUCAAAUGUCAAUUACACUUUACAAAUUUCUGGGUUAUCUAACUACUAAAACUUAUAUCAUCCUUCAGCCCUAUGCUCCGAGCAUGCUGGAGAUGCUUAACCCUACUCAGUCCCUUCGUGAGGGGAUCUGCUGGGUUCUCAUCCGAUGAUACCCUCUUUGCCACGAGGAGUCCUUCUUCGAUCCGAUGUCUAAUGAAAUGGUAUUUUCUGUCGAUGUGUCUGGAUCUCCCAUGAUCCCUUGGUUCCUUGGCUAAGGCAACAGCACUUUCACUAUCACAGAAAAUUUCCAUUGGCUCUUUAAUAGCUGGUACAACUCCAAGGUCUCCAAUGAAGUUCUUCAGCCAUAUCGCCUCCUUUGCUGCUUCGCUAGCUGCAAUAUACUCUGAUUCACAAGUAGAAUCUGCCACUGUCUCUUGCUUGGAACUCUUCCAAGAAAUUGCUCCUCCGUUUAGGGUAAAGACCCAGCCCGACUGAGAGCGGAAAUUAUCCCUAUCAGUCUGGAAGCUAGCAUCACUAUACCCUACAACUCUCAAGUCAUCACUCCCACCGAGGGUAAGGACCCAGUCCUUAGUCCUCCGUAGGUACUUGAGGAUAUUCUUUACCGCAGUCCAGUGUGCCUUGCCAGGGUUCGCCUGAUACCUGCUAACCAUGCUCAAGGCAAAAGCUACAUCGGGUCGAGUACACGUCAUAGCAUACAUGAUCGAUCCUACAGCCGAAGCGUAAGGUGUUCGACUCAUUUCUGCUAUCUCAGCCUCAGUGCUAGGGCUUUGUGUCUUACUCAAUCUGGUGUUACUCUGGAUGGGUAACUCUCCUUUCUUGGAAUCCUGCAUGCUGAAUCUCUUCAGCACCUUAUCCAAGUAGGUACUCUGACUAAGUCCAAUUAGUCUUUUACUCCGAUCUCUCAAGAUUCUUAUCCCUAGAAUAUAGGCAGCUUCACCAAGGUCCUUCAUAGCGAAACACUUCCCAAGCCAGGACUUUACUUCCUGCAGGGUUGGAAUGUCGUUUCCUAUGAGUAGUAUGUCAUCCACAUACAAUACCAAAAAGCUAACUAUACUCCCACUAGCCUUGACAUACACACAAGAUUCAUCUUCACUCCUAGAAAAGCCAAAUUCCUUGACCUUUUCAUCAAAGCAAAGAUUCCAUCUGCGAGGUGCUUGCUUCAAUCCAUAAAUGGAUUUCUCAAGCUUACACACUCUAUUAGGGUACUCGUUGCUGACAAAACCCUCUGGCUGACUCAUGUAAACAUCUUCAGCCAACUUUCCAUUAAGGAAAGCGGUUUUGACAUCCAUCUGCCAUAUUUCAUAGUCAUGAAAUGCAGCUAUGGCUAACAGAACCCGAAUAGACUUAAUCUUGGCUACCGGAGAAAAGGUCUCAUCAUAAUCCACUCCAGGAAUUUGAGAGAAGCCCUUUGCAACCAGUCUAGCCUUAUAAGUGUGUACUUUACCAUCCAUGUCGGUCUUCUUCUUGAAGACCCAUUUGCACCCUACUGUCUUACGACCUGGUACAUUUUCAACCAAGUUCCAAACUUGAUUGUCAUACAUGGAUUGUAUCUCGCUAUCCAUAGCCUCUUUCCAUUUAGCAGACUCGGGGCCUGCCAUGGCUUCCUCGUAGCUGUUAGGGUCAUCUUGACUUACUAGUGUCUCAUCACUAAUAAGUGUCUCACCUUCUGCAGUAAUAUGGAAUCCAUAGUAAUGCUCAGGUGCACUCCUAACUCUCGUGGAACGUCUCAGAGGUACAGAUUUGUCAAUUGGCUCAACAGGAGUUUCCUCCUCAAGUUGAGGGCUAGAGUUUGAAGUUCCUUCACCGCUUGAUUCUUGAAUUUCUUCAAGAUCAAUUUGCCUCCCACUGUCUCCUUGGCUUAUAAACUCUCUUUCUCGAAAGACUCCUCUUCUUGCUACAAAGACCACAUUGUCACUAGGUCUGUAGAAGAGGUAACCAAAGGAUCGCUGUGGGUAACCGAUGAAAAUACACCUCUCGCUUCGAGGUUCGAGCUUAUCAUGAGUCUCGCGUCUCACGAAAGCCUCGCAACCCCAAAUCUUGAUGUGGUCUAGUUUAGGUACUUUACCAGUCCACAUCUCGUGAGGAGUUUUGGCAACUUUCUUUGUAGGGACUAGAUU
rnacentral:lncRNA from 1 species